UACGAGUGCCUCAAGCGUUAUCCGGAAUCAUUGGGCGUAAAGGAUGUGUAGGUGGCCCUGUUAGUCUCACGUUAAAUUUUGCGGCUUAACCGUAAACAUGCGCGGGAAACGGCAGGGCUCGAGGGUGCAAGGGGUCUCUGGAACUCUAGGUGUAGCGGUGAAAUGCGUUGAUAUCAGGAGGAACACCGGUGGUGUAGACGGCUUUCUGGACCGUAACUGACGCUGAGACACGAAAGCGUGGGUAGCAAACAGG
rnacentral:rRNA from 1 species